rnacentral:tRNA from 1 species
AGCCCUAAAAGCUAAAAAGGAUAGCAGUUAA